GAUGUCUACCUGUCAACAUAUUUGCAUUGAAUUAUUUGUUUGAAAUCUAGUUUAUAUUAUUUUUGGAUUAUUCUAAUGCUGUACAGUUAGUCCAACAAUGCAGUCACGGCAGAUGAGGAAAUUGCAGUAUGUCCGACAUGCGGGACACGCCGCAGACAAAUGGCUGCAUCAAAGGAAGGUUGAUCUUGGAGUGAUUUUUGAGAGUUGGAAAUCUCUUCGAGACAAAAGGGCAGACACAGAUCCUGGUUUGGCAUUUCAUUUGAUGGAAAUUCAUGAUCAGUAUUGCUUUUGUCGAUUUGAAGAAUCUGAAUCCACAGUUCGAGAUGGUGAUCUGGUUGGUUCAUAUGAUGUGUCUGAGUAUUCCAAGCAUUCACAAGAAACAGAUGAAGUUAUAGACAGAUUUUCAAACAGCAGCACCCCUGAUACACCUGGCUUUUCCCAGAAACAGGAAACCAGUGAUGUCAGUAAUAGUGUUGAUCCAGGCAACCGGUCGUCUGACCAGCAGCAUGAGUCUAAAGUAGAGACACUGAGCAGACCACGUGACACGUUUGAUGACUCGUCAUCUCCACCAGUCAACGAGGCAUACGUCAAUGAACCAACACUACCGCCACGGGAGCAUUCUGUACUUCCAGAUAAACUCACCAGUCCCCAAACAUCAGGCUAUUCUCCCAUCAUAUCAGUAUCCAUUGGGAGUCCUCAUGCACCUACACAGCCUGCUUAUGUAUUCCAAUCUGAAAAUAUGCCUGAACAAUCGGAUAGUGCAUUGGCUACUUUAUACAGACCAGCUGACAGUGAUUUGCGUGUCAAAGCUGAACCAAUUGCUAUUGAUUCUGAACCGGAUGAGUCUGAUGAUGUCCCUAGAGUAAGUCAUAUUCCAGGAAUGACAACCAGUGCGGGAGAAACGCCAGGACAUAAUUUACAAAGACAACAGCUUACAACUGACAGCAACCAUCUUGGACCAAGCAAGAAAUAUUCUUGUCUUUUGACAACAUUGGCUUCCUUCGACAAGGACAAUAGUGCAUCAACAGACAAGAAAGAGACCAAGAAGCGUGUGUACAUCUGUCAUUUGUGUGGCAAUGAGUACCGACAUGAAAACUCUCUGCGGAGACAUCUAUCUCAGCACCAAGACUCCAACAAGAGCUUUCAGUGUGUGCACUGCGGCAAGGAGUUCCGUGAAAAACGCUACCUGAAGGAGCACGUCAAGGCCAAACACACGGACACUCCUUCGCUGCUGUGUCACGACUGUGGGCUGCACUUCAAGUCCCACAACACCCUGUCCAAUCACCAGCGUUUCAAACACAAACACAGGGCCGUCGUGUGCACUACUUGUGGGUAUGCCUGCAGAGACCAGUACUCCUUGUCGAGACACAUGAAGAAACACGACCAACACAAAUCAGCUUGUCCCAAGUGCUCACAGACGUUCAAGAAUAUGGCGUCACAUGUGCUCAAAUGUCCGGGGGGAAGAGUCAGGAAGUUCUCCUGCGACCAGUGUAUGGUUUUCUUCAGAGAAAAAAGAUAUCUGGCGAAACAUUUGAAACUCAAACACUUCCGUACUGAUGAUUUUUUGUGCAACUGUGGGAAGGUGUUCUCUUAUGCAUAUUCAUUAAAUCGUCACAAGAAAAAUUGUAUACAUGCAAUAUUUGUGUAGGUUAAUUAAGACAUUUCAUAUAUUAAUUUGUUAUUUGUAGACCAAACUGUCUAAAAGUCUGUAUACAUGUGUGUUUUAAGCUGCUAUGAUUCAUUAUUGCAUGCUGUCUGUUAGCCCAGGGUUCAAAACUCACCAAAAAAUAUGGUGGCCCAAGAAAUAAUAAUACAUGUUGGCAAAUUAUGGUAAGCGAUCCACGAGCAAGAUGUUAAUGUGGAAUACAAAUAUUAAUAGUGACUCAUGUGUUACAGCUCUAAAAAAGAUAAUAUUAUUUGGGCGACUAACGCCAUUAUUUUUUUAAUAUUUAAGUUGCCCAAACAGGAUAUUGCUUGCAUUUAGUGACCUGGCCACAGUCCGUUUCGAGCCCUGUUAACCAAUGUACUUCUUGAAGAAAUGUGACAGAACUCCACAGAAAGCAAAAUAAAUCGACAAAAUCCUUCCACUUUGGCUAACAAAAUCUUUAAAAAUUGAAGAAAAACAGUGGUAACUUAUCUUCACAUGGCUCAUGUGAAUUCUCACUGUAACAUGAACUUUUAUAAAAACAGUAAUGCUUUGUUUAUUUGUUUUUUGUUGAAAGUACAUUUAGGUGGCUGUUACCCAGGAAAACUAUGCUCCACAAAACCAAUUUAAUUGAUCUAAUGAAAUGAAUAAUAUUUUAUGGUAAAAAGUAGCUACCUACAAGUGAAUAGGAUAAUUUAUAGGGUUUAUUACACACCCAUUUAAUCUUACUAUAGUCGGGGUUUAAUCCAGGCAUUCUUUGGUACCGAACAUAGGCCCCUUCCCAAAAGCAAGUGGCACUGAAAAUUCCCAAUUUGAUGUGAAUAUUUGUGUAGUUAUGUCUGCUCUAAUAAAUUAAUUUAACAGUGUUAACAAACAUACCAAUAAUGAUUAAAUUAUGCUAGUUUUCCCAAUCACAUCAGACCUGAGAUCCUGGUGAAAAAUCCUGAAUAAAUCCCUGAUAAUAAUAAAGACCAUUCCAACAGUGCAAUACAAAAAUUUAUUGAAUAUAUGUGUAAUACAAAAUCUCGCAUACAUAGCCCAUGCCCCUAGUGAUGCCCAUAUUUUUUUUCAGUUUUAGCCAUACAAUAUCCUAAAACCAUCGUAGGCUAUAACGUAUCAGUCUCUGAUUUUACAAUAUCAUAGCACUAAAAUAGCUUCAAAAAUCUGUAGCUAGGAUACUCUGUGUUCUGUCAAUUCCACAAAAUUCAACCAACUUUCCAAAGAAUGUAAGUGAUGUUAUUUAAUUAAACUUUUGUUAAUCAUAAUAUAUGAAAGUGGUAUGUAAUAAAUACAAAACCACAUACCAUUUGUUUUUGUAUGUUAUUUAUUGCACUUGUUUAUAAUGCAUAAGAUUUAUACAUGUACAGUGGAACCUCGUUAGUCCGGACUCCAUUACUCCGGAAACCUCACCUUACGGACGGUUUUAUCACAAAACGAAACGACUACCCAGUAAAGUUAUUCGUUAAUCCGGAUAUUCAGCUUCCGGAACCGGAUGGUCAUAAUUCUGAACCAAAUGUAAAAAGUAAAGGCAAAUUGCUUCGUUUGACCGGUCGCCGCUGAUUGAACAUAAAAGUAAUCCGCCAAUUAACGCUUAAGGAAUCGACAGAGAUAAAAUGGCUGCACAGGAUUUCACACCGCAGUUUAUUUAACCAUUCACCUGUGUCUGUUUAGUGUUAGUCAGAUAGAGCACAAGUGUUCACAAGUGUUUGAUGUUUUUUUAAAUAUAAUUUCUUUGAUCUGUGACCAGACUGGCUGUUUUAUUUUAUGAAAAAAAAGAAGAGUAUUUUAUUUUUAAAAGUGGGUAACUCUUGAUCAUACCCUAUGGUACCCCAUGACCUCGUUUUGUAACUACCCUCCUAACUUACCUGUAUGAUUUAUUACUGAAUACUGUUCAUAAUUGUUUUGGUGUCCAACUCAAGAGUAUUGCCAGUCACCCAAAAUAAAGACAAAGGAAACAUCUUUAUAUGUUAUUGCUAUCAAAACACAGGCUCGCGACUCGCAAGUGGAACAAUGCUCAUUCAGUUUCACACCGUAAUCCGGAAAUUCGUUAAUCCGGACGUUUUUUUUAAUAACCAUACUGUCCGGACUAACGAGGUUCCACUGUACCUCAACUGCUACACACGGUCUCAAGGUAUCAUAUUCUUGCACGCUAUAAACCCAUACAAUAAAUAACAUGUGAAACAACUGGCAUGUACAAAUAUAGUUUUCUAUAUUUAUAAUUACAUUAAAAUUUAAUUAUGUAUAUUCAACAUGUUCAAAAGCUUUUAUUUUGGCCUAUGUUUGUCGAGUCAGUAAGGUAGCAGCAAAGUAUGAUGUUUAUUCUGUGGCCAGAGAGUGUUGUCCAUCAACUAAUCUCUUGUGGAUCUCCCUCAUUUGUGGACAUUUCACCCAGUUAUUUGGCUAGCUGUGUUUUUACAUUUCCUGAAAAUGGAUGGAUGAUGGGAUCAUAUUGAUUUAUGUAAUUGUACAUAUAUAAUGAAAUAUGGCUUCUAGUAGUUCUAUAUUCUUAAUUUGUAUUAAAUUAAAAGUUUGUA